GUAUUGUAUUGCGUUAGACGCGUCAUGCAUUCCAUGAAACUUUAUUACAGUGUGUGUGUAAAGACGUAGGACCACAGCAAGAGGACAGAGCCCCCCAGGCCAUAGAACUACAGUGGGUGCACAGGUGUGAGUGGAUGUGUAAACAGAGCGUGCACAUGCCCCCAUUUGAGGACCAGCAACAACUUGUGUCGACAAUUCGGUAAUGAUCCUUCCGCAGGUUCACCUACGGAAA
rnacentral:misc_RNA from 1 species